rnacentral:rRNA from 1 species
AUUGAACGCUGGCGGCAGGCUUAACACAUGCAAGUCGAGCGGAGUGAUGGUGCUUGCACUAUCACUUAGCGGCGGACGGGUGAGUAAUGCUUAGGAAUCUGCCAUUUAGUGGGGGACAACAUUCCGAAAGGAAUGCUAAUACCGCAUACGUCCUACGGGAGAAAGCAGGGGAUCUUCGGACCUUGCGCUAAAUGAUGAGCCUAAGUCGGAUUAGCUAGUUGGUGGGGUAAAGGCCUACCAAGGCGACGAUCUGUAGCGGGUCUGAGAGGAUGAGCCGCCACACUGGGACUGAGACACGGCCCAGACUCCUACGGGAGGCAGCAGUGGGGAAUAUUGGACAAUGGGCGGAAGCCUGAUCCAGCCAUGCCGCGUGUGUGAAGAAGGCCUUUUGGUUGUAAAGCACUUUAAGCGAGGAGGAGGCUCUCCUAGUUAAUACCUAGGAAGAGUGGACGUUACUCGCAGAAUAAGCACCGGCUAACUCUGUGCCAGCCGCCGCGGUAAGAC